GACGAACGCUGGCGGCGUGCUUAACACAUGCAAGUCGAACGGUGACGGAGAGCUUGCUCUCCUGAUCAGUGGCGAACGGGUGAGUAACACGUGGGCAACCUGCCCCAGACUUCGGGAUAACGCUUCGAAAGAGGUGCUAAUACCGGAUACGAACUCCUUGGGCAUCCUUGGAGGUGGAAAGUUUUUCGGUCUGGGAUGGGCCCGCGGCCUAUCAGCUUGUUGGUGAGGUAACGGCUCACCAAGGCGACGACGGGUAGCCGGCCUGAGAGGGCGACCGGCCACACUGGGACUGAGACACGGCCCAGACUCCUACGGGAGGCAGCAGUGGGGAAUAUUGCGCAAUGGGCGAAAGCCUGACGCAGCAACGCCGCGUGAGGGAUGACGGCCUUCGGGUUGUAAACCUCUUUCAGCAGGGAAGAAGCGAAAGUGACGGUACCUGCAGAAGAAGCACCGGCUAACUACGUGCCAGCAGCCGCAGUAAGAC
rnacentral:rRNA from 1 species